CUGAAGUAAAAGUCGUAACAAGGUCUCCGUUGGUGAACCAGCGGAGGGAUCAUUA
rnacentral:rRNA from 1 species